AUCUUUCACUCUGUAUUACCCCUUUUGUUUACCUAUUCUCACUGAAAUUAGGGUCCACCUCCGCACGGAAAUUAUUCUCUGCGUUCUCUGAACACCGACAAUGGAGUCUCUUGAAUUUGGGUCACUCGAAUCGACGCUAAAAAUCUCUGUAUUGGUGCUCUCGCGUCGUUUGGUCUCCUCUUCAAGUCAAGAAAAACGUUCAGAUUCAUUGCCUUUAUGUUUCCAAUCCUGCCGACCCACUACGCAGUAAUUAAUAAUCCUCCUCAACCGCCUUUGUUACUCCGAUUUUCUGAUCCUAUAAAUAUGGGUGCAAAUUAUAACAAAUCUCAUAGCUUGCUCCACUUCUUUACGUUCUUAAUAAUCUUUUAAACACAUGCUAUGGCAAUGGCGAACUCCAGAUCCUGAUUUUUGUGUUGAAGUUCGGUGGUUGUAUUGAGGCAGGCGUGACGAUCUUUUUCGUUUUUAGGAGUUUAGUAGUGUUAAGAAAGGAAUGGAGCUCAUUAGUGUUGACAUGAGGAUAGAUCUUUCUGAGCUGCUUCAUUUUGUUGGAAGCUAAAAGGAGAAACGAACGACCAGGGAAAUUAGACGAAUGCUUACUAACAAAUGAGAGAUACAGAGGGAAAACCAUCUUAUUCAAGUGCAAGAACUAUGUGAAGGCUGAGUGAUUUAUGAGAACAUGUUUUGACAUCAUGGAGAAGUCAGUUGCUUCAGAAGAUCAGUCCAUAGCCUUCCUAAUUCAGUCAGUACUUCUCAACUGAACCGUUAUGAGGAAAUAUCAAUUAAGGCUCAAUGAAUCUGUGAGAAGUCAUUUGGUGAGGCGAUGUACUGUUUGGCGUCGAUUCAGACGAUGUUAGGUAAAGACGAUGAGGAAGUACUCGGUUUUCUGAAAAGGGUGUUGAUGAUCCAAGAAACAUAGUAGGGUUCAUCACCCAAAAAGAUUGUUACUCUCCAGAAGAUUGUCCAUCUUAUGGAGAAGUAGGAGACGAAAGAUGAGAAAUAUAAGUGUAAAAGAAGACUGGCUUUACAAGGAGAGUCGUAUUGUGAACAUAUUUUCUUACUCUGAUCUUUCUUGAACAAUGGCAGAAAGAUUGGUCUGGUAAUGGCCAGUGAUGUUAAAAAGUUAUUUUUGUUCUGGUAUAUACACUAAUACAACAUCUGCUUAUAUCUGUGAAAUUUUGCAGCAGUUAUGCUUUUAUUGAAUCGAGCUAUUAAUGACUA